rnacentral:rRNA from 1 species
AAAUGCGUAGAGAUCAGGAAGAACACCGGUGGCGAAGGCGCUCUGCUGGGCUAUAACUGACGCUGAGGGACGAAAGCUAGGGGAGCGAAUGGGAUUAGAUACCCCAGUAGUCCUAGCGGUAAACGAUGGAAACUAGGUGUGGCCUGUAUCGACCCGGGCCGUGCCGAAGCAAACGCGUUAAGUUUCCCGCCUGGGGAGUACGCACGCAAGUGUGAAACUUAAAGGAAUUGACGGGGGCCCGCACAAGCGGUGAAGUAUGUGGUUUAAUUCGAUGCAACGCGAAGAACCUUACCAGGACUUGA